CUUGGCUGGCCUUUGGCAGACGUGGGGCAGGGGUGACCCCUCACAACGAAGUUGUAAAUUGAAUGCUGCUGAACAUGUCCUUUUCAAAUAAGCUUUUAUUGAUUGAACAUGUAAUAUACCUUUGGGGCUGGAUGGCCUCUUGUUAGUCAAUGAUUUUAUUUUAACCUCUUCCUCCUACACUGUAAGUAUAAAAAGUCAGUUCAGUAUCACACCUCUGCCGACUUCCCUUGCUUUAUUUUGCACUGGAUUCAGGCGUUUACUGUCACCUUGUGAUUUAAGACGCAUCCCCCUGCUGUAAACUGCGGAUUCCCUCUGCCCUACCUCGCAGGGCUGUUGUGAGGAUAGAGCGGGGAGAAUGGGAAUCGUGGGCGCUGCCUUGGAGUUAGGAUUAUCUCCAAGAUCAUUUUCAUGUGGGCUAUCGUCAAGGGACAGAAGAGCUGAAAGUAUUUUGUGGGAAGGGCCAGCCCUGAUGCCCAUGGGUGCCUGCCUUCUCCCCUUCGGCUCUCAUUCUUCAUUUCUCAUUUCCUUCCCCUCUACCAUGACAAACGGCUCAGAAGACAGGAUGUCCCAUGAGAGAAAAGGCUGGUGAAAGCCUUUCCUUU